UACGAAGGGUGCAAACGUUGCUCGGAAUUAUUGGGCGUAAAGCGCACGUAGGCGGCUUGGCAAGUCGGAUGUGAAAGCCCUCGGCUCAACCAAGGAAGUGCAUCCGAAACUGCUGAGCUUGAGUACUUAAGAGGAUCGCGGAAUUCCCGGUGUAGAGGUGAAAUUCGUAGAUAUCGGGAGGAACACCAGUGGCGAAGGCGGCGAUCUGGGAAGAUACUGACGCUGAGGUGCGAAAGCGUGGGGAGCGAACAGG
rnacentral:rRNA from 1 species